rnacentral:rRNA from 1 species
UAAGGAAUAUUGGUCAAUGGACGCAAGUCUGAACCAGCCAUGCCGCGUGAAGGAUGAAGGUCCUCUGGAUUGUAAACUUCUUUUAUCUGGGACGAAAAUGGGAUUUUUAUCUCAAUUGACGGUACCAGAGGAAUAAGCACCGGCUAACUCCGUGCCAGCAGCCGCGGUAAUACGGAGGGUGCGAGCGUUAUCCGGAUUUACUGGGUUUAAAGGGUGCGUAGGUGGGCUUAUAAGUCAGUGGUGAAAUCUCCGAGCUUAACUUGGAAACUGCCGUUGAUACUAUAGGUCUUGAAUUAUCUGGAGGUAAGCGGAAUAUGUCAUGUAGCGGUGAAAUGCUUAGAUAUGACAUAGAACACCAAUUGCGAAGGCAGCUUACUACAUAUAAAUUGACGCUGAGGCACGAAAGCGUGGGGAUCAAACA